UGAGGAAGACUGGCAAUCGCGGGCUCAAGGCCCGAGGAAAGUCCGAACUCCAUAGAGCAGAAUGCUGGUUAACGGCCAGAAAGGGUGACCUUGAGGAAAGUGCCACAGAAACAUACCGCCUCUCUAGAACAUCCCGUAAAGGGAUGACUAGGCAUAGGCAAGGGUGAAAUGGUGAGGUAAGAGCUCACCAGCAGUCGGGUGACCGACUGGCUGGGUAAACCCCAUUCGGAGCAAGACCAAGUAGAGGGGAUGACACAUGCUCAAUGAGUAUGCGCCUGCAGAUUGCUCGUCUGUUAACCUUCGGGUUGGUCGCUGGAGGCAUCAGGUAACUGCUGCCCUAGAUAGAUGGUUGCCGCCCGGGCUUUUGUGAGAAAGCCGGGGUACAGAAUUCGGCUUACGGCUUCCUCGAUCU
rnacentral:RNase_P_RNA from 1 species